AGAAUCAACGCUGGCGGCGUGCCUCAGACAUGCAAGUCGAACGCGAAAGUCCGCUUCGGGGGUGAGUAGAGUGGCGCACGGGUGAGUAACACGUAGGUAAUCUACCUUUGGAUGGGGAAUAACAACCGGAAACGGUUGCUAAUACCGCAUAAUGCAGCGGCACCUAAUGGUGACAGUUGUUAAAGCGGGGGAUCGAAAGACCUCGCGUCUAAAGAGGAGCCUGCGGCGGAUUAGCUAGUUGGUAGGGUAACGGCCUACCAAGGCUACGAUCCGUA
rnacentral:rRNA from 1 species